UACGUAGGGGGCAAGCGUUGUCCGGAAUUAUUGGGCGUAAAGGGCGCGUAGGCGGCCUGGCAAGUGACGGGUGAAAGCCCUCGGCUCAACCGAGGAACUGCCUGUCAUACUGCCGGGCUUGAGUCCGGGAGAGGUGAGUGGAAUUCCCAGUGUAGCGGUGAAAUGCGUAGAUAUUGGGAGGAACACCAGUGGCGAAGGCGGCUCACUGGACCGGAACUGACGCUGAGGCGCGAAAGCGUGGGGAGCAAACAGG
rnacentral:rRNA from 1 species